GAGCUGGAUGAGGCGUUCGUGCUGCUAGGUGGUUUCUGCCUCGUCGACCUCUUCCCGUCAUCGCGGCUGGUGCGGUGGCUGAGCAACGGUGAGCGCCACAUGAGGAGGAGCUAUGGCCACAUCCAACGUAUCAACGCCGACGUCAUCGAGGGGCGCAAGGCGGCGCGAGCUGCCGCACAGGACGAUGAUGACUUGCUGGACGUGCUACUCAGGCUGCAGGAGAAGGACGCGUUCACAUUCCCUAUGACCACGGAGAGUAUAGGCGCCGUCUUAUUUGACAUAUUUGCAGGUGCCACUCAGACCACGGGAGUUGCCUUGGAGUGGGCGAUGGCUGAGCUCGUCCGUCAUCCCGAAACCAUGGCCAAAGCACAGCUUGAGAUCCCAGAGGUGCUAGGUCAAGGUCGAGCUGUGUUUACUAAUAGUGACCUCGCCGGACUCCAUUACAUGCGGAUGAUCAUUAAGGAGGUUCUUAGAUUGCAUCCACCAGGUCCUUUGAUCCCCCGCAGGGCCAGGGAAGACCGUAAAGUUAUGGGUUUUGACAUGCUUGAAGGCACCAAUGUAUACAUUAAUGCGUUUGCAGUUUCUAGGGAUCCAAAUUGUUGGGAAAGUCCUGAAGAGUUUAAGCCUGAAAGGUUUGAGAACAAUAACAUGGAUUACAAUGGGACAUACUUUGAAUUCACCCCCUUCGGUGCUGGUCGGAGGCAGUGCCCUGGCAUACUUUUUGGCACGUCAACCAUGGAGAUCGCUUUGGCAAAUCUUCUCUACCACUUCGACUGGGUGCUUCCUGACAAGGCAAAUCCAGAAUUUUUGGACAUGACCGAGAAAUACGGGAUCAUCGUAGGAAGAAAAUAUGAC
rnacentral:rRNA from 1 species